GACUGCAGGCUGCAACUCGCCUGCACGAAGUCGGAAUUGCUAGUAAUCGUAGGUCAGCAUACUACGGUGAAUACGUUCCCGGGCCUUGUACACACCGCCCGUCAAACCAUGAGAGUUGGCAACACCCGAAGUCGGUAGUCUAACCGCGAGGAGGACGCCGCCGAAGGUGGGGUUGAUGAUUAGGGUUAAGUCGUAACAAGGUAUC
rnacentral:rRNA from 1 species